AAAAAAAAAAGAAAAGAAAAAAAGGAGAGAAUUCCAUUCUGCAUGAAAUACUUGAGUAUCGUAAUACCCUUAUUGUGGUGCAUCAUCUUCAGUACUUUUUCUGUUGAACACAUCUCAUUUUAUAAUUUCUAGAAACUUUAUGAUCUUGUGGAAAAUUUAGUAAAACUUUCCCUUAAUCUUUAUCUUCCACAAAUCCCAGCAAAGGGGCAAAAGAAUGAAAGAAAAGAAAAGAAAAGAAAA
rnacentral:misc_RNA from 1 species